UACGUAGGGGGCGAGCGUUAUCCGGAAUUACUGGGCGUAAAGCGCACGCAGGCGGUUCGCCAAGUUUGGAGUGACAGUUGUCGGCUCAACCGACAAAGGACUUCAAAAACUGGUGAACUUGAGGACGAGAGAGGAACAUGGAACUCCAGGUGUAGUAGUGAAAUGCGUAGAUAUCUGGAAGAACACCAAUGGCGAAGGCAAUGUUCUGGCUCGUUUCUGACGCUCAGGUGCGAAGGCCAGGGGAGCGAACGGG
rnacentral:rRNA from 1 species